GAAAUGCGAUAAGUAAUGUGAAUUGCAGAAUUCAGUGAAUCAUCGAAUCUUUGAACGCACAUUGCGCCCGCCAGUAUUCUGGCGGGCAUGCCUGUUCGAGCGUCAUUACAACCCUCAGGCCCCCGGGCCUGGCGUUGGGGAUCGGCGGAAGCCCCCUGCGGGCACAACGCCGUCCCCCAAAUACAGUGGCGGUCCCGCCGCAGCUUCCAUUGCGUAGUAGCUAACACCUCGCAACUGGAGAGCGGCGCGGCCACGCCGUAAAACACCCAACUUCUCAAUGUUGACCUCGCAUCAGGUAGGAAUACCCGCUGAACUUAAGC
rnacentral:misc_RNA from 1 species